UACGUAGGGGGCAAGCGUUGUCCGGAUUCAUUGGGCGUAAAGAGCGUGUAGGCGGCCAGGUAGGUCGGUUGUGAAAACUGGAGGCUCAACCUUCAGAGGUCGACCGAAACCAUCUGGCUAGAGUCCGGGAGAGGAGAGUGGAAUUCCUGGUGUAGCGGUGAAAUGCGCAGAUAUUGGGAAGAACACCAGUGGCGAAGGCGGUUCUCUGGGACGGUACUGACGCUGAGACGCGAAAGCGUGGGGAGCGAACAGG
rnacentral:rRNA from 1 species